CGCGGCAAUCCCUGACGCACCGCCGGAUGCCCAGGAAGACAGGGCGACCUGGAAGUCCAACUACUUCCUUAAGAUCAUCCAACUUUUGGAUGAUUAUCUGAAAUGCUUCAUUGUGGGAGCAGACAAUGUGGGUGCCAGCUGCCGCCCGUGCUGGUGCCAUAGCCCCUGUGAAGUCACUGUGCCAGCCCAAAACACUGGUCUGGGGCCCGAGAAGACCUCCUUCUUUCAGGCUUUAGGCAUCACCACUAAAAUCUACAGAGGCACCACUGAAAUCUUGAGUGAUGUGCAGCUGAUUAAGACCGGAGACAAAGUGGGAGCCAGCGAAGCCACACUGCUGAACAUGCUGAACAUCUCCCCCUUCCCCUUUGGGCUGAUCAUCCAGCAGGUGUGUGACAAUGGCAGCAUCUACAACCCUGAAGUGCUUGACAUCACAGAGGAGACUCUGCAUUCUUGCUUCCUGGAGGGUGUCCACAGUGUUGCCAGCGUAUGUUUGCAGACAGGUUACCCAAAUGUUGCAUCAGUGCCCCAUUCUAUCAUCAAUGGAUACAAGCUGGUCCUGGCUUUGUCUGCGGAGACUGAUUACACCUUCCCACUUGCUGAAAAGGUCAAGGCCUUCUUGGCUGAUCCAUCUGCAUUUGUGGCUGCUGCCCCCACUUCUGCACCUGCUGCUGCUGCGGCCCCAGCCAAGGCUGAAGCAAAGGAGGAGUCAGAGGACUUGGACGAGGAUAUGGGAUUUGCUCUCUUUGACUAACACCAAAAAGCAACCAAUUCAGCCAAGUUUAUUUGUGAGACAAGGAAAUAAAGGCUUACUUCUCUUAAAAAAAAA